AACGAACGCUGGCGGCGUGCCUAAUACAUGCAAGUCGAGCGGACAGAAGGGAGCUUGCUCCCGGAAGUUAGCGGCGGACGGGUGAGUAACACGUGGGCAACCUACCCUGUAGAUCGGGAUAACAUCGAGAAAUCGGUGCUAGUACCGGAUAAUCAUUUGAAGUGCAUGCUUCGAAUGUAAAAGAUGGCUCCGGAUAUCACUACGGGACGGGCCCGCGGCGCAUUAGCUAGUUGGGAAGGUCAUGGCUUACCAAGGAAACGAUGCGUAGCCGACCUGGGAGGGUGAUCGGCCACACUGCGACUGAGCCACGGCCCAGACUCCUACGGGAGGCAGCAGUAGGGAAUCUUCCGCAAUGGACGAAAGUCUGACGGAGCAACGCCGCGUGAGUGAUGAAGGUUUUCGGAUCGUAAAGCUCUGUUGUUAGGGAAGAACAAGUGCCGUUUGAAUAAGGCGGCACCUUGACGGUACCUAACCAGAAAGCCACGGCUAACUACGUGCCAGCCGCCGCCGUAAGAC
rnacentral:rRNA from 1 species